rnacentral:tRNA from 1 species
GGGUGAUUAGCUCAGCUGGGAGAGCACCUCCCUUACAAGGAGGGGGUGCGGUUCGAUCCCGUCAUCACCCACCA